rnacentral:rRNA from 1 species
UACGUAGGGUGCGAGCGUUAAUCGGAAUUACUGGGCGUAAAGCGUGCGCAGGCGGUUUUGUAAGCCAGAUGUGAAAUCCCCGGGCUUAACCUGGGAAUGGCAUUUGGGACUGCAAGGCUUGAGUGCGGCAGAGGAGACUGGAAUUCCUGGUGUAGCAGUGAAAUGCGUAGAUAUCAGGAGGAAUACCGGUGGCGAAGGCAGGUCUCUGGGCUGACACUGACGCUCAUGCACGAAAGCGUGGGGAGCAAACAGG